CACAGGCGCUGGACAGCUAAGCCCCGACGUAAGUUGGGGUUAGGAAAGUCCGAACACAGACCAGUUUAGUCUGGAAAAGUAAAGGGUAAUACCCUUCCAUAGCGAUAUGGAGUUGCGAACAGUGACGAACCGAUUUAGUUCGGGUGAAACGGCUAAAUACUUACUCCUGUGCAAGAUCGUGUCCUCCCGCGCCUCACGGCGGAGGAGGAAGAAUCGCUUGAGCCCUUUGGCAACAAAGGGCCUAGACAAAUCGCUGUCAUCUCCGACCACGUCGGGGAACACAGAAUUCGGCUUAUAGGCGCCUGUAGAAA
rnacentral:RNase_P_RNA from 1 species